UCCCCUGAAAAGGAAGGACCUCCGGGAGC
rnacentral:piRNA from 1 species